rnacentral:rRNA from 1 species
UACAGAGGUCUCAAGCGUUGUUCGGAUUCAUUGGGCGUAAAGGGUGCGUAGGCGGCGCGGUAAGUCGGGUGUGAAAUCUCGGGGCUUAACUCCGAAACUGCAUUCGAUACUGCCGUGCUUGAGGACUGGAGAGGAGACUGGAAUUUACGGUGUAGCGGUGAAAUGCGUAGAUAUCGUGAGGAAGACCAGUGGCGAAGGCGGGUCUCUGGACAGUUCCUGACGCUGAGGCGCGAAGGCCAGGGGAGCAAACAGG